rnacentral:rRNA from 1 species
AUGCAAGUCGAACGGAAGCCGUUCUAGAGGAAGAGAAGAUUUAUCGGAUUGGAAUCUAGGACAAUGACUUUAGUGGCGGACUGGUGAGUAACACGUAAGCAACCUGGCUAUUAGAGGGGAAUAACAGUGAGAAAUCAUUGCUAAUACCGCAUAAGCUAGUAGUAUCGCAUGAUACAGCUAGAAAAGGAGCAAUCCGCUAAUAGAUGGGCUUGCGGCCGAUUAGCUAGUUGGUGGGGUAAAGGCCUACCAAGGCAACGAUCGGUAGCCGAGCUGAGAGGCUCUACGGCCACAUUGGGACUGAGAUACGGCCCAGACUCCUACGGGAGGCAGCAGUCGGGAAUAUUGCGCAAUGGAGGAAACUCUGACGCAGUGACGCCGCGUAUAGGAAGAAGGUUUUAGGAUUGUAAACUAUUUUAGACAGGGAAGAAAAAAUGACAGUACCUGUAGAAUAAGCUCCGGCUAACUACGUGCCAGCAGCCGCGGUAAUACGUAGGGAGCAAGCGUUAUCCGGAAUUAUUGGGUGUAAAGGGUGCGUAGACGGGAAGACAAGUUAGUUGUGAAAUCCCUCGGCUUAACUGAGGAACUGCAACUAAAACUAUUUUUCUUGAGUGCAGGAGAGGAAAGCGGAAUUCCUAGUGUAGCGGUGAAAUGCGUAGAUAUUAGGAGGAACACCGGUGGCGAAGGCGGCUUUCUGGACUGUAACUGACGUUGAGGCACGAAAGUGUGGGGAGCAAACAGGAUUAGAUACCCUGGUAGUCCACACCGUAAACGAUGGAUACUAGGUGUAGGAGAUGAUUUCAUCAUCUGUGCCGAAAGCAAACGCAAUAAGUAUCCCACCUGGGGAGUACGACCGCAAGGUUGAAACUCAAAGGAAUUGACGGGGGCCCGCACAAGCAGUGGAGUAUGUGGUUUAAUUCGAAGCAACGCGAAGAACCUUACCAGGGCUUGACAUAUACAGGAAUUAGUAAGAGAUUACUAAGCUUUUCGGAGCCUGUAUACAGGUGGUGCAUGGUUGUCGUCAGCUCGUGUCGUGAGAUGUUGGGUUAAGUCCCGCAACGAGCGCAACCCCUAUUUCUAGUUGCCAGCACGUAAAGGUGGGAACUCUAGAGAGACUGCCGGUGAUAAAUCGGAGGAAGGUGGGGACGACGUCAAAUCAUCAUGCCCUUUAUGUCCUGGGCAACACACGUACUACAAUGGUCGCAACAGAGAGAAACGAAACAGUGAUGUGGAGUAAAACUUAAAAAGCGAUCUCAGUUCGAAUUGAAGGCUGAAACUCGCCUUCAUGAAGUCGGAAUUGCUAGUAAUGGCAGGUCAGCAUACUGCCGUGAAUACGUUCCCGGGCCUUGUACACACCGCCCGUCACACCAUGAGAGUUGGAGAUACCCGAAGCCUGUGAGCUAACAAAUAGAGGCAGCAGUCGAAGGUAGAGCCAAUGAUUGGGGUGAA